rnacentral:misc_RNA from 1 species
GUGAGGUUUGGCAGUCAGAAGGUGAGUUGAGCAGAAGAAGAGGAGGCAGGAAUAUUGAGAACAUGUUUGGCAAUCCAUCACCAGAUUAUUUGCCAUUUGAAUUCCGUGCUCUUGAAGUUGCACUGGAGGCAGCUUGUACUUUUCUUGAUUCUCAGGGAAAAGUCAUAACGAUCAUUCUUCCAAUCUUCCAAGGAAAUAGCUUGAGCUUCUUUUUAUUUUUAUAACCUGGAAAUCCUUGAGGGGCAGUGAUGG